rnacentral:tRNA from 1 species
AAUUAGGAUCUGCUACAUAAGCAAUUGGGCCCAUGCCCCAAAAACGGCAACUCUGCCUCCUAAUAUA